AAAGCUCAAAUGGGGCUUAUGGGUCAUCCACAAGCUCUUGCUAGCAGGCAUUUAUGGGAUGAUAUUCUUCAUGUACAACUCGAAGUGGAGAGAGAGACUACCCGCAAGACCUGCGUUCUACAAGUACAUAAGUUACUCAUCCCAUCUUACUACAAGCGUGGUGAUUAUGUUCCUGGACUCAAGAACGAAACUUUCAAUGGACAUUACAAGAAAGCCCGAAGGUUUUGGUUUUAAAACUGCAGGGAUUUGAUUUUUAAAACUACAGGUUUUGGUUUUGGAAACUGCAGUUUCUGUUUUGAAUACUUUCAGGUUUUGGAUUCACUGGUGUUUUCAGGCUGCCUCUAGUUGAUGGUUGCAGAUUGUUGGACCGUUUAGUUUCAGAGUGGAGUCUGGAAUUCAGAUUGAUCUGAAGAAUGGAGCUAACCCCGUGACUGUAGAUAAGACAGUAUUUGCUAUGGAAUAUGCUAUUCAAGUGCUUGCUUCUGCCAAGGCUGUUGCUUGGUUCUCCCACAACAGAAAGAAUUCAUGGUUGAGCUUCGUUUCUUUGAGAUAUAGUAUCAGGACUUUCCACUCAAAAUGUCUAGCUUGAUCCUAUGAAGAUUGUAGUCGUCUUGCAGAGAAGUAAAUAGACAAUGUUUGAUUUUUUUUUCAGUUUCUUAUGUUAAACAGAAGAAUGAUUUAAUAGAAGGGAAGUUUACAUCUUACAUUA